rnacentral:rRNA from 1 species
CGGCCGCGUCGACGAACCAUGACUUUUACUUUGAAAAAAUUAGAGUGUUCAAAGCAGGCUUACGCCCGAAUACAUUAGCAUGGAAUAAUAAAAUAGGACGUGCGGUCCUAUUUUGUUGGUUUCUAGGAUCGCCGUAAUGAUUAAUAGGGAUAGUUGGGGGCAUUCGUAUUCAAUUGCUAGAGGUGAAAUUCUUGGAUUUAUUGAAGACGAACUACUGCGAAAGCAUUUGCCAAGGAUGUUUUCAUUGAUCAAGAACGAAGGUUAGGGGAUCGAAAACGAUCAGAUACCGUUGUAGUCUUAACGGUAAACGAUGCCGACUAGGGAUCGGAUGAGGAUUUUUUAUGACUCGUUCGGCACCUGAAGAGAAAUCUUUAAGUCUAGGUUC